AUUUGUGCCGUUCACACUGUCAGACCAUGAUUGGAUAGAUGGGUCGCAUAGGGUCAAAAAAGUUGGCUUUGCCUGCAGUGUGAACGUAGCCUAACAGAAGCAGAGUAUCCAUGAAUGGCCUUUAGGGGGAGCAAGGAGCACCACUGAGCUAUGCUGGAAAAAAUAAACAUGAAACACACAGACAGGUGUGCAAUACUCUAAUCCUGUGUGUGUAUAUGUUUGUUACAGAGCAGUCAGCUGAUCCAUGUGCUGUGUACUCAUCAGUGAGAGCAGGAAGCUGAGGACACACUCGGUCUGAUGGACAACCUUCAUCCUUCACUCUGCUCCUCUUUCAGAGCCUGCUGAGGCGUCAUCAGUUAUUCCUGAAUCUUCAUUAGACAGUGUUGAUCAUGGAGGAGAAGAUUUGUACUUUAAGUAUUAGUUUUGCUGUUUUCAUUCUUCUACAAACAUGUGAAUGACUUUAAAGGAUCCAUAUAUAUGUAUUAAAGGAUGGACCUGUGUUUUAUAAAAGUUUGUUUAAAA